rnacentral:rRNA from 1 species
CUGUCGUCAGCUCGUGUUGUGAAAUGUUGGGUUAAGUCCCGCAACGAGCGCAACCCUUAUCCUUUGUUGCCAGCGGUCCGGCCGGGAACUCAAAGGAGACUGCCAGUGAUAAACUGGAGGAAGGUGGGGAUGACGUCAAGUCAUCAUGGCCCUUACGACCAGGGCUACACACGUGCUACAAUGGCGCAUACAAAGAGAAGCGACCUCGCGAGAGCAAGCGGACCUCAUAAAGUGCGUCGUAGUCCGGAUUGGAGUCUGCAACUCGACUCCAUGAAGUCGGAAUCGCUAGUAAUCGUGGAUCAGAAUGCCACGGUGAAUACGUUCCCGGGCCUUGUACACACCGCCCGUCACACCAUGGGAGUGGGUUGCAAAAGAAGUAGGUAGCUUAACCUUCGGGUGGGCGCUUACCACUUUGUGAUUCAUGACUGGGGUGAAGUCGUAACAAGGUAACCGUAGGGGAACCUGCGGUUGGAUCACCUC